rnacentral:rRNA from 1 species
AUUGAACGCUGGCGGCAUGCCUUACACAUGCAAGUCGAACGGUAACGGGUCUUCGGAUGCUGACGAGUGGCGAACGGGUGAGCAAUGCAUCGGAACGUGCCCAGUCGUGGGGGAUAACGCAGCGAAAGUUGCGCUAAUACCGCAUACGAUCUAUGGAGGAAAGCGGGGGACCGUAAGGCCUCGCGCGGUUGGAGCGGCCGAUGGCAGAUUAGGUUGUUGGUGGGGUAAAGGCUCACCAAGCCGACGAUCUGUAGCUGGUCUGAGGGGACGACCAGCCACACUGGGACUGAGACACGGCCCAGACUCCUACGGGAGGCAGCAGUGGGGAAUUUUGGACAAUGGGCGCAAGCCUGAUCCAGCAAUGCCGCGUGCAGGAAGAAGGCCUUCGGGUUGUAAACUGCUUUUGUACGGAACGAAACGGUCCUGGUUAAUACCCGGGGCUAAUGACGGUACCGUAAGAAUAAGCACCGGCUAACUACGUGCCAGCCGCCGCGGUAACAC